rnacentral:rRNA from 1 species
AUACGGAGGUUGCAAGCGUUAUCCGGAUUCAUUGGGUUUAAAGGGUACGUAGGCGGAUAGAUAAGUUAGUGGUGAAAUCCCGAAGCUCAACUUCGGAACUGCCAUUAAAACUGUCUAUCUUGAAUUUGGUUGAAGUGGGCGGAAUAUGACAUGUAGCGGUGAAAUGCAUAGAUAUGUCAUGGAACACCGAUAGUGAAGACAGCUCACUAAGCCAAUAUUGACGCUGAGGUACGAAAGCAUGGGUAGCGAACAGGAUUAGAAACCCCUGUAGUCC